CGAUGGCACCUACCAAAAUGCCAGGUUCAGCUGUUAGUCCCGGCUGGGCUAGGGAGGACGGGUCUUCCUCUUCCCCUGCAUGGCAUCUGGGGGCCAGAUCAGACCCACCCCCAGAUUUCUCCCCUGACUGUAGAAAGCUGUGCAAACUACCUCUC